UUAAGCUACAAAGAGCGUAGGGAGGAUACCUAGGCACCAAGAGCCGAAGAAGGACGUGAUAAGCUGCGAAAAGCUAUGGUAAGGAGCAAAUAUCCUAUGACCCAUAGAUAUCCGAAUGAGGGAACUCAUCCACAGAAAAAAGUGUGGAUAUCCAUAUAUGAGUAAAGUAGUAUAUAGGAAGGGAACGCAAGGAACUGAAACAUCUUAGUACUUGUAGGAAGAGAAAGAAAAAUCGAUUCUGUGAGUAGUGGCGAGCGAAAGCGGAAGAGCCCAAACCAAUGUUGCUUGCAACGUUGGGGUUCGGACUACAUAAUCCAUUUAUCGAGCGAAUAAGAAUUGUUUGGGAAGGCAAAUCAUAGAAGGUGAAAAUCCUGUAUUAGAAGUGAGAUAGAGGAGGUAGUAUCCAGAGUAGUGCGAGGCACGUGAAACCUCGUAUGAAAGAGCGGGGACCACCCCGUAAGGCUAAAUACUACUUGGUGACCGAUAGAGAUUAGUACCGUGAGGGAAAGGUGAAAAGAACCCCGGGAGGGGAGUGAAAUAGAACAUGAAACCCUAUGCUUACAAACAGACAAAGCACGUUAAGGUGUGAUGUCGUACUUUUUGUAGAACGGUCCAGCGAGUUAUUGUAUAUGGCAAGGUUAAGCACUAUGUAAGGUGUGAAGCCGAAGCGAAAGCGAGUCUGAAAAGGGCGAAUUAAGUCAUAUGUAAUAGACCCGAAACCGGGUGACCUAACCAUGGUCAGGAUGAAGCUUGAGUAAAAUCAAGUGGAGGUCCGAACUGAUAAGCGUUAAAAAGCUUCCGGAUGAACUGUGGUUAGCGGAGAAAUUCCAAUCGAACUCGGAGAUAGCUGGUUCUCCUCGAAAUAGCUUUAGGGCUAGCCUUGAGGUAAAACAUGUGGGGGUAGAGCACUGAAUGAUUUAGGGGCCAAACCAGGUUACCGACAUCUAUCAAACUGCGAAUACCAUGUGGAAGUACUCAGGAGUCAGACUGCGGGAGCUAAGUUCCGUGGUCAAAAGGGAAAGAGCCCAGAUCGUCAAUUAAGGUCCCAAAGAUAUAGCUAAGUGGGAAACGAUGUGAAAUUGCGUAAACAACCAGGAUGUUGGCUUAGAAGCAGCCAUACAUUUAAAGAGUGCGUAAUAGCUCACUGGUCGAGUGAAUUUGCGCGGAAAAUUACCGGGGCUAAGCUAUACACCGAAAUUGCGGGUUAUGAUGUAUCUAAUAAUGUGUAUCAUAAUAAGAAGAUAAAUUUUCUGUUAAAAACAUGAAAUGUUUUUAACCAAAAUGUUCAAAAGGAUAAGGUAUACAAGAAAAGGUGCAUAUUAUUAGAUACAUUGUAGCGGUAGAGGAGCAUUCUGUAGUAGGGUGAAGUAUGAUCGAAAGGACAUAUGGACGAGGCAGAAGAGAGAAUGCUGGAAUAAGUAGCGAGAGCAAAGUGAGAAUCUUUGCCGUCGAAAGUCUAAGGUUUCCUGGGGAAGGUUCGUCCGCCCAGGGUAAGUCGGGACCUAAGGUGAGGCCAAGGAGGCGUAGCCGAUGGAUAGCAGGUAUAAAAUUCCUGCACUACCGAAAUACUUAAAAACGAUAAGGGACGCAGGAGAGGAAGGAAAUCCGGGAAGAGGAAAAACCGGAGCCGAAAGGCAUAGUGAAAAUUUAAAGUAACGAAGUUCCAAGAAUCACACUGACGAGAAAAGCUUAUUGACAUUGUAUUAAGGUACCCGUACCGCAAACCGACACAGGUAGAUGAGGAGAGGAUCCUAAGACGAACGGGAGAAGCAUUGUUAAGGAACUCGGCAAAAUGACCCCGUAACUUCGGGAGAAGGGGAACCUAGGUAAAACUAGGUCGCAGAGAAAAGGCCCAAGCAACUGUUUAACAAAAACACAGGUUUCUGCUAAAUCGAAAGAUGAAGUAUAGGAGCUGACGCCUGCCCAGUGCUGGAAGGUCAAGGGGAGAUGUUAGAAGAAAUUCGAAGCAUAGAACCAAAGCCCCAGUGAACGGCGGCCGUAACUAUAACGGUCCUAAGGUAGCGAAAUUCCUUGUCAGGUAAGUUCUGACCCGCACGAAAGGCGUAAUGAUUUGGGCACUGUCUCGACAAUGUACCCGGCGAAAUUGUAGUACUAGUGAAGAUGCUAGUUACCUGCGACAAGACAGAAAGACCCCAUGGAGCUUUACUGUAGCUUGAUAUUGGGUUUCGGUAAUUUAUGUACAGGAUAGGUGGGAGACUAUGAAGCAAGAGCGUCAGCUUUUGUGGAGUCACCCUUGGGAUACCACCCUUAAAUUAUUGGAAUUCUAACCUGUGAUCAUGAACUGGUCAGGGGACAAUGUCAGGCGGGCAGUUUGACUGGGGCGGUCGCCUCCUAAAGAGUAACGGAGGCGCCCAAAGGUUUCCUCAACCCGGACAGAAAUCGGGUGAAAGAGUGCAAAGGCAGAAGGAAGCUUAACUGAAAGACAGACAUGUCGAGCAGAUACGAAAGUAGGGCUUAGUGAUCCGGUGGUAUGUGAGUGGAAAUGCCAUCGCUCAACGGACAAAAGUUACCCUGGGGAUAACAGGCUUAUCUCCCCCAAGAGUUCACAUCGACGGGGAGGUUUGGCACCUCGAUGUCGGCUCAUCGCAUCCUGGAGCGGAAGUACGUUCCAAGGGUUGGGCUGUUCGCCCAUUAAAGCGGUACGCGAGCUGGGUUCAGAACGUCGUGAGACAGUUCGGUCCUUAUCUGUCGCAGGCGCAGGAUAUUUGAAGGGAGUUGUCCUUAGUACGAGAGGACCAGGAUGAACAUACCGAUGGUGCAACAGUUGUCACACCAGUGGCAUAGCUGUGUAGCUAAGUAUGGAAGGGAUAAACGCUGAAAGCAUCUAAGUGUGAAGCCCACCCUAAGAUAAGAUAUCCCACAACGUUAAGUUGGUAAGAUACCAGGAAGACUAACUGGUUGAUAGGUUGGAGGUGUAAGUGCAGUAAUGCAUUAAGCUGACCAAUACUAAUAUAUCGAGGGCUUAACCAU
rnacentral:rRNA from 1 species